CGGAGGGUGCAAGCGUUAUCCGGAUUCACUGGGUUUAGAGGGUGCGUAGGUGGGUCUGUAAGUCAGUGGUGAAAUCCCCGAGCUUAACUUGGGAACUGCCGUUGAUACUAUAGAUCUUGAAUAUCGUGGAGGUAAGUGGAAUAUGUCAUGUAGCGGUGAAAUGCUUAGAUAUGACAUAGAACACCAAUUGCGAAGGCAGCUUACUACACGAUCAUUGACACUGAGGCACGAAAGCGUGGGGAGCAAACAGGAUUAGAUACCCUGGUAGUCCACGCCCUAAACUAUGGAUACUCGACAUCAGCGAUACACAGUUGGUGUCUGAGCGAAAGCAUUAAGUAUCCCACCUGGGAAGUACGAUCGCAAGAUUG
rnacentral:rRNA from 1 species